AUGGCAGAGGAAAUUCAUGCUCUUGAGCGCACAGGCACUUGGGACCUUGUACCCCUGCCUACAGGCGUUAGACCCAUCACUUGCAAAUGGGUCUACAAGGUUAAGACACAUUCAGAUGGUUCUCUCGUGCGCUACAAAGCUCGUCUUGUUGCGCGUGGCUUCCAGCAGGAGUAUGGUCGUGACUAUGAUGAGACUUUUGCUCCUGUUGCUCACAUGACCACUGUUCGCACUCUUUUGGCUGUUGCUGCUGUUCGGCAGUGGUCCAUCUCUCAAUUAGAUGUCAAGAAUGCCUUCUUGAAUGGUGAGCUGCGGGAAGUGGUCUAUAUGCAGCCGCCUCCUGGCUAUACUGUCUCUGAUGGCACUGUCUGUCGCCUUCGGCGCGCUCUUUACGGGCUGAAACAAGCUCCUCGUACCUGGUUUGAGCGUUUCUCCGCCGUCAUCACAAGGAUCGGGUUCUCUGCUAGUGUUCAUGAUCCUGCUCUGUUUAUUCACACUUCUCCUCGCGGUCGCACCCUUUUACUACUCUAUGUUGAUGACAUGAUUAUCACAGGGGCUGACCACCAAUUCAUUGAUUUUGUGAAGAAACGUCUACAUGAGCAAUUCUUGAUGACUGAUUUGGGUUCUCUUCGCUACUUUCUUGGACUUGAGAUCAUUUCUUCCCCUGAGGGUAUUUAUCUCUCUCAAGAGAAGUACAUCCAAGAUCUUCUCACUCGUGCCUGCCUCACUGAUCAGCGCACGGUUGACACUCCUAUGGAGUUUGGUCUCCAUCUUCGUCCUGGUGAGGGUGAACCCCUUGCAGAUCCCACGCGCUACCGCCAUCUGGUUGGGAGCCUUGUCUAUCUAGGCAUCACUCGUCCUGACAUUUCUUAUGCUGUGCACAUUCUAAGUCAGUUUGUCUCUGCUCCCACUCAACUUCACUACAGUCACCUUCGUGUUCUUCGUUACCUUCGUGGUACCGUGACUCGUCGCUUAUUCUUCCCUCGCUCCAGCUCUCUUCAGCUUCAGGCCUACUGUGAUGCUACCUGGGCCAGCGAUCCCACUGAUCGCCGCUCUCUCUCUGCCUAUUGUGUUUUUCUUGGCUCCUCCCUGAUUGCCUGGAAGACCAAGAAGCAGAAUGCUGUAUCUCGCUCCAGUGCUGAGGCUGAGCUGCGAGCUAUGGCGUCCGUGACUGCAGAAAUUACUUGGCUACGAUGGCUUCUUCAGGAUUUUGGUGUUUCCACUGCUACACCGACCCCUCUGCUCUCCGACAGCACUGGGGCACUCAGCAUUGCCCGUGAUCCUGUUAAGCAUGAGCUCACCAAGCACAUCGGUGUUGAUGCCUCCUACACUCGUUCUCAGGUGCAAGACAGAAUUGUGGCCCCUCAUUAUGUGCCCUCGGAGCUUCAGCUUGCUGAUUUUCUGACGAAAGCUCAGACACGGUCCCAACACAGCUUUUUCCUGUCCAAACUCGGUGUCCAAGAUCCCCCUUGA
rnacentral:rRNA from 1 species